AUUCGGAAUUACGCUUUCCAUCAUUUUCCGAUAACUCUCUGUCAUGUUUAGGAACACAAAACAGACCUGGUCCUGAUAACUCCAUUCUUCCAAUGCCAGUCAAGGUUCCCUCAAAUACUGAAGACGUCGAUGGACAUUCCUCACCUCAUAUAUCCAUUCCCAUCUCUUCUGGGGAAUUCUUUAUGUCUCAUGGUCUGGUUGAUCU